rnacentral:rRNA from 1 species
AGCUCCAAUAGCGUAUAUUAAAGUUGUUGCGGUUAAAAAGCUCGUAGUUGGAUCUCGGCGGGCAGGGGGUGGUUCGCUCUUCAGCGCUACUGCCCCGCUUUGCCCGUGUGAUUGGCGGAGGUUUCGGGGUGCUCUUCGUUGAGUGACUCGGUUUACUUUGAAAAAAUUAGAGUGCUCAAAGCAGGCUUUUCACGCUUGAAUAUUCGUGCAUGGAAUAAUGGAAUAGGAACUCGUUUCUAUUUUGUUGGUUUUCGGAAAUCGAGUUAAUGAUUAACAGGGACAAUUGGGGGCAUUAGUAUUCAGACGACAGAGGUGAAAUUCUUGGACCGUCUGAAGACUGACUACUGCGAAAGCAUUUGCCAAGAGUGUUUUCA